rnacentral:rRNA from 1 species
UACAGAGGUCUCAAGCGUUGUUCGGAUUCAUUGGGCGUAAAGGGUGCGUAGGCGGCGCGGUAAGUCGGUCGUGAAAUCUCGGAGCUUAACUCCGAAGCUGCAUUCGAUACUGCCGUGCUUGAGGACUGGAGAGGAGACUGGAAUUUACGGUGUAGCGGUGAAAUGCGUAGAUAUCGUAAGGAAGACCAGUGGCGAAGGCGGGUCUCUGGACAGUUCCUGACGCUGAGGCACGAAGGUCAGGGGAGCAAACGGG